rnacentral:rRNA from 1 species
UAAGGGAUAUUGCGCCAAUGGGCGAAAGCCUGACGCAGCAACGCCGCGUGCGGGAAGAGGGCCUUCGGGUUGUAAACCGCUUUUCUAGGGGAAGAGGGAGGACGGUACCCUGGGAAUAAGUCUCGGCUAACUACGUGCCAGCAGCCGCGGUAAAACGUAGGAGGCGAGCGUUAUCCGGAUUUACUGGGUGUAAAGCGCGUGCAGGCGGUUCAGCAAGUCGUGCGUGAAAGCGCUCUGGCUCAACCGGGCGAGGACGUGCGGAACUGCUGAACUGGAGGCAGGUAGAGGCGUGUGGAAUUCCGGGUGUAGUGGUGAAAUGCGUAGAGAUCCGGAGGAACACCAGUGGCGAAGGCGACGCGCUGGGCCUGACCUGACGCUAAGACGCGAAAGCAUGGGGAGCGAACGG